UUGAAACACCUGUUCCUGUAUGAUCACCGAAGUUAAGCAAUGUUGAACCUGGUCAAUACCUAAAUGGAUAACCACUUAGGAAUACUAGGUGCUGUAAG